rnacentral:rRNA from 1 species
NCGNACAGNCUUUNUUAAUUUUAACCUUGCAUGAAAAAGGUAUCUUAAUCCAACAUCGAGGUCACAAACUUUCUUGCUGAUAAGAACUCUUUAAGAAAAUUAUGCUGUUAUCCCUAUAGCUAACUUAUUCCUUUUUAAAAAUUUUUUGAUUUUUCAAGAAUUGUAUUCAUAUUAUAAAAAUAAAAUUUUUAUUUAUUUACUGCCCCAGUAAAAUAAUUUUUAAUUUAUUCUGAUAUUAAAUUAUAAUUAUAAAGCUUAAUAGGGUCUUCUUGUCUUUAAUGUUAAUUUUAGCUUUUUUACUAAAAUAUAAAAUUUGGAGUAUAAUAAUAAGACAUGAUUAAUUAGUUAAACCAUUCAUUC